rnacentral:rRNA from 1 species
CCUACGGGUGGCUGCAGUAGGGAAUAUUGGUAAUCUGGGAAACCGGGAACCAGCAACGCCGCGUGCGCGAUGAAGGCCUUCGGGUUGUAAAGCGCUUUUUAAAGGGAUGAGGAAGGACAGUACCUUUAGAAUAAGCCUCGGCUAACUACGUGCCAGCAGCCGCGGUAAAACGUAGGAGGCGAGCGUUAUCCGGAUUUACUGGGCGUAAAGCGUGUGUAGGCGGUUUGAUAAGUUGGAUGUGAAAGCUCCCGGCUCAACUGGGAGAGGUCGUUCAAAACUAUCAGACUCGAGAGUGGUAGAGGGAGGUGGAAUUCCGCGUGUAGUGGUGAAAUGCGUAGAUAUGCGGAGGAACACCAGUGGCGAAAGCGGCCUCCUGGCCCAUUUCUGACGCUCAGACACGAAAGCUAAGGUAGCAAACGGGAUUAGAUACCCCGGUAGUC